CCAGCCAGGUGUGGUAAUGGUGUUGUGAAAGAGAAGACUCGUACUCUUGAAAGGAGUGCCAAAGAAGUAUUAAGAGGUGAAAUUUCAUGACAUUGGUAGACCAUUUUCAGAAGGUUGGGCCAAAAGAAAGAACGUACCCACAGAGACAUGUUGUUGACAAAUAUUCACUGCACCAUUCCUUCAACUUUUUGGAAUACAACUUUGGUCAUUGUCCCCAGCAAAAGUGGCACUACCCUGGCCUGAGCAGAGGCUAGACCCACCUAGCAAUGUACUGCAGCCUUGUGGCUCUUUCCAAGACAACCACUCUGGAAGACACGGAGUCUAGGUGCUGCCAUGGAGAAGCAAUUAUUUUUCUUCAGUGCUCAUGGGAGAUCAGAGUUCCGAUCCCUCUUUGCAGUGGGUUUGGCUGUGCCUCUCACACUGAAAGCACACCAGCCCUGGUCCUCCCAUUGAUUCAUAAGUACAACACACCACUUCCAGGAUACAGAGCCAUGGUGGAAUGUUCACUGGAGUGAGGCAGCGUAUGGAGCAUGCAGAGCAUGCAGACCCAGGGCCUCACUGCAUUGCCCAGGCUGGACUUGAACUCCCAGACUCAAGUGCUCCUCCCACCUCAUGCUUCCAAGAAUAUGGGACCACAGGCAUGUGCUACCUUACUCAGUUCUUACCAGUAUCUUUUAAUAUUACAUCAGUAUUUUUAAACCAUAAACAUUGUAUUGUUGAAUAAAUUUUGGUGCUCUUGGUUAUUUUUAAUUAGGAAGAAACUAAGGGGAAAAGUUUGAAAUAAUACUUGUUCCUCCCAUUACACCAGUAAUUACAUUUACAAUUUUAGGAAAAUAUUUUACAACUUUAAGAAAAUAUUUUUAGAAGCCAACUUGAAUGAAUCUUGGAAGCUCCAGAAACCUUUCACAACUUUUUGAAAUGGAAAUAAUAAUUUAUAGUUAAUAUUUGUUUCUUCAUUCCUGUAUUUAUAAUAUUUCUCUGGGAACAGAGCUGUAGGGAAAAAAA
rnacentral:lncRNA from 13 species